UACGUAGGGGGCAAGCGUUGUCCGGAUUUAUUGGGCGUAAAGAGCGUGUAGGCGGCUUGGUAGGUCCGCUGUGAAAACUCGAGGCUCAACCUCGAGAUGUCGGCGGAAACCACUUGGCUAGAGUCCGGAAGAGGAGAGUGGAAUUCCCGGUGUAGCGGUGAAAUGCGCAGAUAUCAGGAAGAACACCCGUGGCGAAGGCGGCUCUCUGGGACGGUACUGACGCUGAGACGCGAAAGCGUGGGGAGCGAACAGG
rnacentral:rRNA from 1 species